rnacentral:rRNA from 1 species
AUUCCAGCUCCAAUAGCGUAUAUUAAAGUUGUUGCAGUUAAAAAGCUCGUAGUUGGAUUUGUGGUGUACUUCGGCGGCCCGUCACUAUGUGAUGGAGCUUGCUGAAGUCGCCAUCCUUGGGUGGAUCCUGUGUGGCAUUAAGUUGUCGUGCAGGGGAUGCCCAUCGUUUACUGUGAAAAAAUUAGAGUGUUCAAAGCAGGCUUAUGCCGUUGAAUAUAUUAGCAUGGAAUAAUAAGAUAGGACCUUGGUACUAUUUUGUUGGUUUGCGCACCUAGGUAAUGAUUAAUAGGGACAGUUGGGGGUAUUCAUAUUCCAUUGUCAGAGGUGAAAUUCUUGGAUUAACGGAAGAUGAACUUCUGCGAAAGCAUCUGCCAAGGAUGUUUUCAUCG